UGUUGGUAUCAGACAAAGAUAUGGAUUAAUCCUACGCUGCCGCAAUCUACUGAGUUUAAAUCCAGAUUCCUGACAGUACGUCAAAUCAAACUUUGAGCGGAUCACCCAAAUAAGUUCACAACAAAGUUACUCUGUUAGAGAUGAAUUAGACAAAGGAAUUGUACUGUUUAAAACUAUUAGGGAUUUAGUUCAGUGUACGGAGGAAUGUAGCUAUUGGAUUGCGGCAAAAUUGGUGAAUUUGGAACUUGACCGGGGAUGGUCAUACUUGGCAUGCAACAAGUGUACUAGAAAGGUUGACAAAGUUGGUACUACAUACUUUUGUAAGAAAUGCAAUGAAGAAGCAUCUUCUAUUACUCACAGGUAUAGGCUUCAAGUUCGUGUUAUGGAUGGAACCAUUUUUAUCUUAUUAUUGCUUUG